rnacentral:rRNA from 1 species
AUUGAACGCUGGCGGCAGGCCUAACACAUGCAAGUCGAACGAGUGGCGGACGGGUGAGUAAUGUCUGGGAAACCGCCUGAUGGAGGGGGAUCACCUCUGGAAACGGGAGCAAACACCGUAUUCCCUCGGAUGCGCCCAGAUGGGAGUAGCUAGUAGGUGGGGUAACGGCUCACCUAGGCGACGAGCCCUAGCUGGUCUGAGAGGAUGACCAGCCACACUGGAACUGAGACACGGUCCAGACUCCUACGGGAGGCAGCAGUGGGGAAUAUUGCACAAUGGGCGCAAGCCUGAUGCAGCCAUGCCGCGUGUGUGAAGAAGGUCUUCGGGUUGUAAAGCACUUUCAGCUGGGAGGCGUUACCCACAGAAUAAGCACCGGCUAACUUCGUGCCAGCAGCCGCGGUAAUAC